UACGUAGGGGGCAAGCGUUGUCCGGAAUCAUUGGGCGUAAAGCGCGUGUAGGCGGCUCGAUAAGUCUGCUGUGAAAGUCCAAGGCUCAACCUUGGGAUGCCGGUGGAUACUGUCGAGCUCGAGUCCGGAAGAGGAGAGUGGAAUUCCUGGUGUAGCGGUGAAAUGCGCAGAUAUCAGGAAGAACACCCGUGGCUAAGGCGGCUCUCUAGUACGGUACUGACGCUGAGACGCGAAAGCGUGGGGAGCGAACAGG
rnacentral:rRNA from 1 species